UGAGUAGCCCCACCUCCUCCUCCUCCUCCUCCCCUCCCCUCGCCCGGAGUCUGCCUUGUCUCGGCUCGCCCGGCUGCUCUCGGGAACUUUGCGCUCGGCUCGCCUUCCCUUUUGCCAACUUUUCCCCCCGUCGCCGCUCGACGGCAAGUUCUUCUCCCGCCUUGGCGAAGGGUGCCGCCGCCGCCGCCGCUGCGGGAGAGCGCGGAUCCCGCCGGAGGUGGGAGGCGGCCCGCUGGGGAGAUGCGGUCGCGGAGUGAUUAGAGCGCGGGACUCCGGGUUUUGGCCGCCGCCAGCGCUGCAGCAACUUGCAAGCGGAGCGGUGGUCGGCUGCCGCUGCGGCAGAUCGGCGGAGGAGAGAAAUUGUUGCUGCUGUGUCUGCUCCUCCUUUAAACUGCGCCUGAAGCUCCCGCGCCGCCCGCUCGGCUGCUUUUUUUUUGCCUUUGUCUGUUAACCGUGCGAGAGAGAAAAACAGAAGUUUUACUUCAUGGCAAGAAGUAAUAUCCUGCAACAGAAAUUUCCCCCCAAACUGGGCAGAAGUAAUCUUCAUAAACUGUGACGUGCAGACCUUCAAUCAGAUUUUGCUGAAAUGGGUUAUAUGGCUCGCAAUUCAGUCCUGGGAUUUAUUCUUAAAUCUACAAUGCUAAAUGGACUUAUGAUUGUUCCUGUUCUUGUGGUGAUAGUUUUACUUUCACCGAGCAAGGCUG